AUUGGAGGGAAUUCUCCAAUACUGUAUUUUAUUGUGUUUUGUAUAAUUUUCCUUUUACUGUUCGAGAUAAUUAUGCACAAUCAUGCCAUUACGAAUGUGUGUGUGUGUGUGUGUGUGUGUGUAGAGAGUGUGUGUGUGUGUGUGUGUGUGUGUACAAGAGCAAA